rnacentral:rRNA from 1 species
AGCGAACGCUGGCGGCAGGCCUAACACAUGCAAGUCGAACGAAGUCUUCGGACUUAGUGGCGGACGGGUGAGUAACACGUGGGAACGUGCCUUUAGGGUCGGAAUAACUCAGGGAAACUUGUGCUAAUACCGAAUGUGCCCUUCGGGGGAAAGAUUUAUCGCCUUUAGAGCGGCCGGCGUCUGAUUAGCUAGGUGGUGAGGUACAGGCUCACAAAGGCUACAAUCAGUAGCUGGUCUGAGAGGAUGACCAGCCACAUUGGGACUGAGACACGGCCCAAACUCCUACGGGAGGCAGCAGUGGGGAAUCUUGCGCAAUGGGCGAAAGCCUGACGCAGCCAUGCCGCGUGGAUGAUGAAGGUCUUAGGAUUGUAAAAUCCUUUCACCGGUGAAGAUAAUGACUGUAGCCGGAGAAGAAGCCCCGGCUAACUUCGUGCCAGCCGCCGCGGUAAUAC